rnacentral:rRNA from 1 species
GAUCCUGGCUCAGGACGAACGCUGGCGGCGCGCCUAACACAUGCAAGUCGAACGAGCGAGAGAAAGCUUGCUUUCUCAAGCGAGUGGCGAACGGGUGAGUAACGCGUGAGGAACCUGCCUCAAAGGAGGGGGACAACAGUUGGAAACGACUGCUAAUACCGCAUAAGCCCACAGGUCGGCAUCGACCAGAGGGAAAAAGGAGCAAUCCGCUUUGAGAUGGCCUCGCGUCCGAUUAGCUAGUUGG